rnacentral:pre_miRNA from 1 species
GGUUUCUCUGAGCUUCUUUACAGUGUUGCCUUGUAGCCUUGUGAUCAAGCAGCAUUGUACAGGGCUAUCAGAGCAUCC